rnacentral:rRNA from 1 species
AACGAACGCUGGCGGCAUGCCUAACACAUGCAAGUCGAACGAGACCUUCGGGUCUAGUGGCGCACGGGUGCGUAACGCGUGGGAACCUGCCCUUAGGUUCGGAAUAACUCCCCGAAAGGGGUGCUAAUACCGGAUAAUCUCUUCGGACCAAAGAUUUAUCGCCUUUGGAUGGGCCCGCGUUUGAUUAGCUAGUUGGUAGGGUAAAAGCCUACCAAGGCGACGAUCCAUAGCUGGUCUGAGAGGAUGAUCAGCCACACUGGGACUGAGACACGGCCCAGACUCCUACGGGAGGCAGCAGUGGGGAAUAUUGGACAAUGGGCGAAAGCCUGAUGCAGCAAUGCCGCGUGAGUGAUGAAGGCCUUAGGGUUGUAAAGCUCUUUUACCCGGGAUGAUAAUGACAGUACCGGGAGAAUAAGCUCCGGCUAACUCCGUG